ACUAGAAUCUGAUUCAGAAGAUAAACGAAAAACAGCACCGUCAUACUGCACUUGACAGUCACUUGACUUUUAUUGCGAUAAGAUUCAGUGGAAUCUGUUCCACUUGAGGUGCGCGGAUCAUCGCACUAAUUGGAUAACAAUAUUUUUGGGGGAAUUCCUUAAAUGAACCAAACACUGAAACCAACUUUAAUGGGUCGUUGACACAGACAUUGACAGAUACUCGCUAGUUUACAGCUAGUCACGCACAUGAUGUUCUCCGACGAUAUAAUGCGAUCAAACCAGACUGACUGCAGCUGUCACCAGCUGUCAUGUGGAAACCGGGAAGGCCCCUCCUUUUGGUAACUUGUCCUCUCCGCUCGAUUCAAACUCACACGGAGCAUGUCUAGAAGCGAUAUAGCCCCAGCCAAUGCAGAGGCAAAACGAAAGCGAUGAGAUCCAGCAGUGACGGAAGUUUAAUUCCAAUGGACUAUGAGCGUUUCAAAUUCUUAAAGACGGGGAAAGCAAUCGAGUCAAUAAAACAACUGACCACCAAACUGAUUCACGUGGAAAAUCAGUAGGAAAGCAUGCAUUUCCAUCUGUUCAUCUUGAAACGAGUUUGCAGUGACGGCUUCGGUCUGCAUGUGAAUAUGGCUCAAAAAUGACCAAUGGAGGCUAUGACUGAACAACUAAAUUCAAACUGCACAAUAAGAAAUGUGAGCAUGUUGAAGGAGCCAACAAAUACACAACAGUCCACCCACAGAAAAAUCUGCAGGGUUAAUGGAAAACUGAGGAGAAUCAUGAGGGAAUCAGAGAAUGUAAAUGGACAACUAAAAGAUGGUUUAUAUAAGCUUGUGGAAGAAAUAAAUGCGUCUUUGAGAUGUUGGUGUCAUCAGAAGAGGGAGGGGACAAAAGAGCUGAAACAGCAAAGACGAAAGUGGAAGAUUUGCAGAGUGAAAGACAUUCUUGCCAACUUAGAGAUACAAUAUGAACAAUACAAUACGUAUCUGUCCCUCAGCACAGACCUUCCAGAGCGUGGGAAGACUUCAGAGCAAACCGGUAUAUAA
ensembl:lncRNA